AUCCUGUCUUCGUCAUUUACAGUCUGAUCAAACCCUUACCCAAAUUGCUCGUCCUCCUUUACGCUCUCCUCAAUUGCCACACUAGUUGUUCCAUGCUUACCCCUAUCUGCAUCUUUGAUUUGUUGCUAAGAUUUGGAUCUGCCCCUUCUGCUUCCAGUGCAACCACUUCUCUCCUCACUACACCUCCAUCAACAAUGACAACAUCCUCAUAGAGAUUUUUCCAUAGUACACCACCAUUGAGCAGGAGACUCCCAAAGAGAAGUGUUCAUCCUUGUCAGUUUUAAUGUUGGUGGUUGACACUUUUAUCAUCGAGGAAGAGAUGGCUUUCCUCAAGUCUGCCUUGUCCUAGACCAUCAGCCUCCUCUCGGAAAAUUUCAUUAUUGGCCUCAUCAAUUUUGGGAUCUUGGUCCAUGUUCAUAAGCUAGGCUUAUGAAUCUUGGUUUUGUGAUGAAUUUGGGAGCUUGGGUUCUUACAGUCUCCAUCGGCAAAUAAAUCUGGGUAUUGUGAUCAAAUUUGGGUGCUUGGAUUCUUGCUUUUUUUUAUUAUAUAUAUAUAUGAAUCUUGAUAUUGUAAAUGAAUUUGGUUGUGAUGAAUCUCAUGUUGUCAUAUGGUAUUGUGAUGAAUUUGGAUUGAUGGAAUCUGGGUUAUCCCUCAUGCAUUAAUUUGGGUAUUGUGAAUCUAGGUUUGAUUGAAAUUUUUUUGUUUGAUUGACAUACAGAAAUUAUAUUUUUAUUUGGGUAUUGUGUUGAAUGACGAUUUAUAUUGCAUUUUUUUUUUCUUU
rnacentral:misc_RNA from 1 species